ACUGAAAUUAUUAUUAUUUAGUUUAAAUUUUUAAACAAAUUAGUAACAGUAGAUAAGUCUAAGUUUUGUUGCUCUAUGGUCUAAUUAUUGUAACCUAAGUUGAGGUUAAAUAUACUGGUUGUUUAUAUUAUAUUUUUUCAAUUUUUGUUUCAGUAUGUCAGAUUUACGUUUAGAAAUUUUUAUUGGUAAAGAAAACAAAAUACACACCCAAGAUUCGGGGGUUAAUGACUGGACAUCAUAUAGAAACAAUUUAAAGCAGUUUCAAGCUACAAUUAAUGAUAUUUUGACUGAAAUUAUAAAUGAAAAUGAAGCCAAAGAACCUGAAGAAGAACUAAGUGAAAUGGAAUCAGAAGAUAGUGAUACUGAAUCAAAACAUAAGAGAACUACAGAAGAAAAUAUUCCAGGAAAUUGUAAAAAGUCUAAAUUUUCCUAGCUGGUGUAUUAUUUUAUAUAUUUAAUUAAAUAUUAAUUUAAUAAGUUUUUUAAUGAUAUUAUGGUGUAAAUAACCAUAAAAACGUUAAAAUAAAAUUGUGUUAAUUUGA